UCUAUAAAUUUCAGUUUUAUACUAACUUUGGAAUGAGUUUAAGCCAUAACGAUGAAGUUUUCAGGUGCACUUGUCAUUAUUUUGCUUUUGGUAUCUUUGGAAUUGUUCACAACACCCGUGGAAGGUUUUCUUUGGGGGAGAAGAAGAAAAUUUAAAGUGGUAAUAAAAGAUGGAGACCAAAAAGUCAAAAUUGUGGGGCACUCCAAUAGCAAAAAACAGACAAGCGGUCUUCCAGAAAUACCCCUUGCUCCAAGUGAUUCAUUUACUCCAGCUUCAUUGACAUGAUCAGCUAAAGAAUUGCAUGAUUUAUGGAAAACUGAGAGUGGAAAUUUUAAAAUAAAUCUUUGUGCACUUA